ACACAGGUGCUGCAUGGCUGUCGUCAGCUCGUGUCGUGAGAUGUUGGGUUAAGUCCCGCAACGAGCGCAACCCUCGCCCUUAGUUGCCAUCAUUCAGUUGGGCACUCUAGGGGGACUGCCGGUGAUAAGCCGAGAGGAAGGUGGGGAUGACGUCAAGUCCUCAUGGCCCUUACGGGCUGGGCUACACACGUGCUACAAUGGCGGUGACAAAGGGCAGCUAGAUCGCGAGAUCAUGCUAAUCCCUAAAAGCCGUCUCAGUUCGGAUUGCACUCUGCAACUCGGGUGCAUGAAGUUGGAAUCGCUAGUAAUCGCGUAACAGCAUGACGCGGUGAAUACGUUCCCGGGCCUUGUACACACCGCCCGUCACACCAU
rnacentral:rRNA from 2 species